rnacentral:rRNA from 1 species
GACGAACGCUGGCGGCGUGCCUAAUACAUGCAAGUUGAGCGCUGAAGGUUGGUACUUGUACCAACUGGAUGAGCAGCGAACGGGUGAGUAACGCGUGGGGAAUCUGCCUUUGAGCGGGGGACAACAUUUGGAAACGAAUGCUAAUACCGCAUAAAAACUUUAAACACAAGUUUUAAGUUUGAAAGAUGCAAUUGCAUCACUCAAAGAUGAUCCCGCGUUGUAUUAGCUAGUUGGUGAGGUAAAGGCUCACCAAGGCGAUGAUACAUAGCCGACCUGAGAGGGUGAUCGGCCACAUUGGGACUGAGACACGGCCCAAACUCCUACGGGAGGCAGCAGUAGGGAAUCUUCGGCAAUGGACGAAAGUCUGACCGAGCAACGCCGCGUGAGUGAAGAGGGUUUUCGGAUCGUAAAACUCUGUUGGUAGAGAAGAACGUUGGUGAGAGUGGAAAGCUCAUCAAGUGACGGUAACUACCCAGAAAGGGACGGCUAACUACGU